AACGCAUCCUUACUUUUCCUCUUACCCUUUCGCAUUUCUCUGUUCUCUCUCUCGUCGCGACAUGUGAAAUCCGGAUCGAGGCAUUCCAUGCCGGCGGAGGCAGAUCGCGGAGGCGUGCCGCGUGCGGCUCCUGGCGGAGGAGUGGAGGCGCGUCGGAGCCGUGCGCCCCUCCCUCCGUCAGCAUGUGCGCGCGCUGCCAUGGUGGCUCCGCCCUAGGCUGUGGCCGGCGGUGGCGAACUGAAAGCUGAAGAGGCAUUUAACGAGUUAUGCCGACGCCCCUUGCAAUCCCUGCCUCUCACGUCCCUCUCCUCCAAGUCCUCAGGUCCCAGCCUUCUGAUGAUGUCCGAGGACUCUACUUCAAGGGUGAUGGUCAUGCCAGUAAAGGUCAUUGAUCAAUAUUUGCAUGCCACCCCUUUCAGUCUCUCAAAAGGAAAAUGGAAGUGUUGGUGUAUCUGUUGUGUACCAUCAAGCAGUACUACACUGCAUUAGCUAUACCCGAUCAGGAGUUAAAAAAAAAAAGAAAGAAAGAGCACAUCGAGGAAGGAAAAGCAAAUAAUCCUAGUUUUUGUGAGAGGCCCCAAAGUGCAUAAAGUCUUAAACUAGGGUCUGGAAAUAGUAUUGUCAUAUAUAUGGUUUAAUAUUUGUAUUUUGUUGUCAGUACUUGUAACUUUUUUAUCUAUAUUUUUAUUGUCACCUUAAGAAUUACAUGUAACUUUUUAAUUUGUUGUUCUUCCCAUUCCCAU